GCCUGAGCAGGGCACAGGCCUAGAGCCAGAGAGAGGUAUGCCUGUGAGCACAGCUGAAAAGACGCUGUCCUGAUGGAAGAACUGUAUGCUGAGCAUUUCUGAGCCUGAAAUGCAACCUGUUACUUCCUUAAUAAACCCAAUAACCAUCUACCCAGGGGACUUAAACCUGAACUGAAGAAGGAUCUCAAGUGUUGGAGGGACCAGUCCCUGGAGAAGGACAUCAUGCUUGAUAAAGUGGAGAGUCAGCGGAAAAAAAGGAAGACCCUCAAUGAGACGGAUUAACACAGUGGCUGCAACAAUGACCUCCAGCAUAACAACGAUUGUGAGGAUGGUGCAAGACCAGACAGUGUUUCGUUGUAUUGUACAUAUAUGGUCACUAUGAGUCGGAACAGACUCCAUGGCACCUAACUGCAACAAUACCUUCAUCUUUAGCCUCAGCUUUUCUCAAUAUUUUAACAUGCUUCUGUUAGGAAACGGUGACCGUUAAUCCUAUUUUAGAGAUACAGGGACUGAUUGAGGCUCAGAGGUGUUCAGUGAGUUGUCCACAUUACACAGCAGGCAAGUAAUGAAAUGAAGAUAUCUACUCAGCCUUCUGCCCCAAAUAUGUAGGGUAUUCUACACGAUAUUGCCUCUUGAGGUGGCAGCUCUAAUCAUUUUACUUCCUCGUCCCUGACGCCUCAACCUCAAAUGUUCAAUUUCGUAUAGCGAAGAAAUUUCAAACUCCUUGGCACAUAUUCAAGGCUCCCCCAAUCUCAACUCACUUGAUAGUUAUGGUCUAGUGAACACCCAGAAGUUACAGAAUAUAUUAUGAGCAUUUAAAAUUGCUUUUAAGUAUAACAAUAAGGUGAACCCAACAAAUAACUCAUACCAUGUACCGAACCUAAACUUUUGUCAGACACGGCACUAGAUGCUUUUCAUGGACAAUCUCUAGUCCUCAUGAAAAUUUACAACUUAAUUCUAAUAAUCGUUACAUGAUAAGUGAGGAAACCAAUAGGUUAAGUCCCUUGAUGAAAGUUACACAGCUAGAUACUGUGGAACUAUGAUUCCAACUCAGGGCACUCAGACAUAAAGGCCACUGUUACUAUAUUUGGUCUUUUUAAAUGUGACACUGGUAUGAAGGUCAUUGUUAUGGACUGAACUGUGUCCACCCCACCAAAAGUUAUGUUGAAGUCCUAAACCCUGUACCUAUAAAUAUGACCCUUUUUCGAGAUAAGGGUUUUCUUUUGUUAUGUUAAUAAGGCCCUACUGGAGUAGGGUGGGUACUGUACCUAAUCCCUUCUGAGCAAUGUCUUAUAAUACGAGCAGAAUAGACACAUACACACAGAGAGAAGAGAUCAUUGAGAAAUUGUCUACAAGCCAAGGAAUGCCAAGAACCGUGAUUAUCAAUAAGGAGAGACCUACCCCUAGCGCUGAUACCUUGAUUUGGAUGUCUAGCUUCCAAAAGUAUGAGGCAAUAUCUAUCUGUUCCUUGAAGCUACUCAUUUGUGAUAUUUUUGUUACAGCAACACUAGAUAACUAAGAUAGUAAUAUUCUUUCAAUCUUUUCUUCAAAAUCUUUCAAAAUUUCACUUUCUCCCUUUGAUUCCCACCUAACUUUGUUUAGUACAUGGGGUCACAGAAGUUCUUGAGGUUAAAUAAGUCAUUGUGGUUUUAGGUCAUGUCUCUGAAAGAGAAAUUUAUUAAUGAGUUCUUUGAGGAGUCAGAGUACUUUGGGCCCUGAUUCUGAGUGUUUUCAUUUGUGUUCAAGGGGCAGUCAUUCAUUGUCUCCUGAAGGAACAUGAAAAUCGUGUAUAAGUUUCCAGUAGGUAAAUGUUUACUGUGGCAUCUUUGUCAUUGGCUUGAGGUAAAAACAAGGAGAUGGAGGGGAAUCAGGUUAGUCACUCCGGGAGAAAACGUCUGUGAAGAAAGUCCCUGUCUCUAAGCCCAAUAUGUUCCAACCUUGACAUUUUUUAGAAUCCUGUCAGCUUUGGAUCAACAUAAAAAUGCCAUCACUCAAAAUACUCCUUCUUAAGAAUGUGAAUAGAGUAUAUUCCUUCUCAUUCAGCUCUUAUCCCUGGUGUGGACUGUGUUACUCAGUAUCUGUGUUAGCUCAGUAUCUUCUCUUUCCUUAAGUGGAGGCUGUUCCAGGUGACUGUUCCCAUUCUCGGUAUUCCUGGUUGAGGACACGGAUGUUACAUUAGAAAGUUAUUUAAAAACAAAACAAAACUAAUAAUAAGCAAGGCGCCACUAGUCUCGAACUGAAUGUCUCAUUUGCCUGCGAAAAUGCUGAUGCAUUUCAGGAACCAAUAAUUAGUGAAGGACAUUAAGUUCUCCGUUUUAUUUAAAUGUAGAUUUCUCA